rnacentral:lncRNA from 1 species
GAAACAAGUUAGCUUUUCUAACAUGAGGGGGAGACAUGAUAAACAAUUGAGAAAAAGUUACACGGGAUGAAUUAUCAUUUGUAUAUAUAGAUCCCCGAAUAUCAUAAUAUGAACCUGAAGAUCAUAAAAGGAUAAUUCAAUUGCAAAAUAUUGCAAAGCAUGCUAUACGCAUUUGCUGACCCAAAGAAAGUAACUAUAUUCUCACUGCAAAUGCUCAUAUU